rnacentral:rRNA from 1 species
GAUGAACGCUGGCGGCGUGCCUAAUACAUGCAAGUCGAGCGAAGCGGGGACGGGUGAGUAACACGUGGAUAACCUCCUUUAAGACCGGGAUAACUUCGGGAAACCGGAGCUAAACCGGAUACUUAUCGGUGGCUCCGAGCUGCAUUAGCUAGUUGGUAAGGUAACGGCUUACCAAGGCAACUAUGCCUAGCCGACCUGAGAGGGGGAUCGGCCACACGGGAACUGAGACAGGGUCCAGACUCCUACGAGAGGCAGCAGUAGGGAAUCUUCCGCAAUGGGCGAAAGCAUUACGGAGCGACGCCGCGUGAGUGAUGAAGGUCUUCGGAUCGUAAAACUCUGUUACUAGGUAAGCGGUACCUAAUCAGAAAGCCACGGCUAACUACGUGCCAGCAGCCGCGGUAAUUC